rnacentral:rRNA from 1 species
UACGAAGGGUGCAAGCGUUAAUCGGAAUUACUGGGCGUAAAGCGUGCGUAGGCGGUUAUUUAAGUCUGUUGUCAAAUCCCCGGGCUCAACCUGGGAAUGGCAAUGGAUACUGGAUAGCUAGAGUGUGAUAGAGGAUGGUGGAAUUCCCGGUGUAGCGGUGAAAUGCGUAGAGAUCGGGAGGAACAUCAGUGGCGAAGGCGGCCAUCUGGAUCAACACUGACGCUGAGGCACGAAAGCGUGGGGAGCAAACAGG